GCGGGGGUGCCCGAGCCAGGUCAAAGGGGUCGGGCUCAGAACCCGAUGGCAUAGGCCUGCGUGGGUUCAAAUCCCACCCCCCGCACCA
rnacentral:tRNA from 1 species